rnacentral:rRNA from 1 species
UACGUAGGGGGCAAGCGUUGUCCGGAAUCAUUGGGCGUAAAGCGCGUGUAGGCGGCUCGGUAAGUCCGCUCUGAAAGUCCAGGGCUCAACCCUGGGAUGCGGGUGGAUACUGCCGGGCUCGAGUCCGGAAGAGGCGAGUGGAAUUCCCGGUGUAGCGGUGAAAUGCGCAGAUAUCGGGAGGAACACCGAUGGCGAAGGCAGCUCGCUGGGACGUAGC